GGACGGCUCAUUAACACGUGGUUAACAUACCCUCAGGUGGGGGAUAACCUUGGGAAACUGAGGAUAAUACCCCAUAGAAAAAGCAGUCUGGAACGAUUCUUUUUCGAAAGCAUAUGCGCCUGAGGAUUGGACUGCGCUCGAUUAGGUAGUUGGUGGGGUAAUGGCCUACCAAGCCUACGAUCGGUACGGGCCUUGAGAGAGGAAGCCCGGAGAUGGGGACUGAGACACGGCCCCAGGCCCUACGGGGCGCAGCAGGCGCGAAACCUCCGCAAUGCACGAAAGUGCGACGGGGGGAUCCCAAGUGCUCAUGCACAGCAUGGGCUUUUAUCAAGUGUAAACAGCUUGAGGAAUAAGGGCUGGGCAAGUUCGGUGCCAGCAGCCGCGGUAACACCGACGGCCCGAGUGGUGGCCACUUUUAUUGGGCCUAAAGCGUCCGUAGCCGGUCCAGUAAGUCCUUGUUUAAAUCCUGCGGCUUAACCGCAGGACUGGCAGGGAUACUGCUGGACUUGGGACCGGGAGAGGACAAGGGUACUUCAGGGGUAGCGGUGAAAUGUGUUGAUCCUUGAAGGACCACCUAUGGCGAAGGCACUUGUCUGGAAC
rnacentral:rRNA from 1 species